rnacentral:rRNA from 1 species
CCCUUAGAUGUUCUGGGCCGCACGCGCGCUACACUGUUCGACGCAGCGAGUCUUAACCUUGACCGAAAGGUUUGGGUAAUCUUCAGCAAAGUCGAACGUGAUGGGGAUCGAUCAUUGCAAUUAUUGAUCGUGAACGAGGAAUUCCUAGUAAGUGCAAGUCAUCAGCUUGCGCUGAUUACGUCCCUGCCCUUUGUACACACCGCCCGUCGCUACUACCGAUUGAAUGGUUUAGUGAGAUCUCUGGAUUGACGCUGGCUAGGGGGCGACCCUUGGCCAGACUGUUGAGAAACUGCUCAAACUUGAUCAUUUAGAGGAUGUAAAAGUCGUAACA